rnacentral:rRNA from 1 species
CCCAUCGAUGUCGACAGAGUUUGAUCCUGGCUCAGGAUGAACGCUGCGGCGUGCUUAACACAUGCAAGUCGAACGAUGAACCUCGCUUGCGGGGGGAUUAGUGGCGAACGGGUGAGUAACACGUGAGUAACCUGCCCUUAACUCUGGGAUAAGCCUUGGAAACGGGGUCUAAUACUGGAUAUUGACUUUUCCUCGCAUGGGGAUUGGUUGAAAGAUUUAUUGGUUUUGGAUGGACUCGCGGCCUAUCAGCUUGUUGGUGAGGUAAUGGCUCACCAAGGCGACGACGGGUAGCCGGCCUGAGAGGGUGACCGGCCACACUGGGACUGAGACACGGCCCAGACUCCUACGGGAGGCAGCAGUGGGGAAUAUUGCACAAUGGGCGAAAGCCUGAUGCAGCGACGCCGCSUGAGGGAUGACGGCCUUCGGGUUGUAAACCUCUUUC